GACAGAGGGUGCAACCGUUGUUCGGAAUUACUGGGCGUAAAGCGCGUGUAGGCGGCUCUGCAAGUCGGAUGUGAAAGCCCUGGGCUCAACCUAGGAAGUGCACUCGAAACUGCAGAGCUUGAGUCUCGGAGAGGAUCGCGGAAUUCUCGGUGUAGAGGUGAAAUUCGUAGAUAUCGAGAGGAACACCGGUGGCGAAGGCGGCGAUCUGGACGAUGACUGACGCUGAGACGCGAAAGCGUGGGGAGCAAACAGG
rnacentral:rRNA from 1 species